GGUUAGUUUAGAUUUAUUUUUCAGGAGUUAAAAGACGAUGACCAAUGUUUCUAAGACCUCUAAAGGCCAAGACGAGGAAGAUGAUGGUGCAAUUGAGAGGAUAUUGUACUCAUGUAAUGAUCGAAUCAAUGAUUUACCAGAUUGAGAGAUAGUUUGUUAGGGAAGAACAUAAAGGAUGAUGUCAUUUUAGGAAGUGUAUUGAAGAAGAGGCUGAACGAGAUGAGAGUGAUUAUGCCGGUUUUGGGUCCUCUGCCGCCAGAGGAGGAGUUUCUAUCGAUGUUGAUGGCGCAGGCAGUGUCGAGGACUAGGCCAGGAACGGUAAGUGUGAAUUACUGUAAGCAGUUUUGGAAAGUUGGAGAGUUUGAGGUUGUGCUAGAGGAGGAGUUUCCGUCGAUGUUGAUGGUGCAGGCAGUGUCGAGGACUGGGUCGGGGACAGUGAGUGUGAAUUACUGUAAGUACAUAGUUUUGGAAGGUUGGAGAGUUUGAGGUUGUGCCUUGUGGCGACUUCGACUGAAUACCAUGAACUCCAAGACUGCCAGUCAUAUUAAUAGUGAAAUGUAUAGCAGUGCAAAAGACAUGGCACUCUCUCAUCAAGAGUUUCACCUUCAUUGGCACAUACCUCAACAGGACAAUGCAAUUCAGCAAUGAAAAUUUUAUUCAUCUCCUUCUCCUAAAUUACACAAUCAGCUUCUGAUUUUACUCCUUGCAUUGGGAUAAUCCUACAUUCAAUGUGUAUGUCAAUCUCAUAACUCCAAACAUAAUUCCUUGAUGCUAUGAUCAUCAGAUUUGUAACUAGGUAGCUCUUAUCUUAUAUACGAGGUUCAUGUUCAUUAGAAAUGCUAAUUUAUUUUAAGUCCAAUUUAAUUA